UCUCCCAAUCAGUGGCUUAUAGG
rnacentral:piRNA from 1 species